rnacentral:rRNA from 1 species
AUUGAACGCUGGCGGCAUGCCUUACACAUGCAAGUCGAACGGCAGCACGGGAGCAAUCCUGGUGGCGAGUGGCGAACGGGUGAGUAAUACAUCGGAACGUGCCCGGUAGUGGGGGAUAACCCGGCGAAAGCCGGACUAAUACCGCAUACGACCUACGGGUGAAAGCAGGGGAUCGCAAGACCUUGCGCUAUCGGAGCGGCCGAUGUCAGAUUAGCUUGUUGGCGGGGGUAAAAGCCCACCAAGGCGACGAUCUGUAGCUGGUCUGAGAGGACGACCAGCCACACUGGGACUGAGACACGGCCCAGACUCCUACGGGAGGCAGCAGUGGGGAAUUUUGGGACAAUGGGCGCAAGCCUGAUCCAGCCA